UCACAUUUACCUAACAUAAAUAUCCUAUUCGCUCAGCAGAAACUCAGUUAAUGCAAGUAACCCUUCUCUCUCAUGUCCGACAAGACAUCUGUCCUCCUUCCAAAUUGAACCAACCAUGCGGCCAUUCUUCAGUGUCUCCUUCCCUACCAAAACGUCUUCCUUUCCACCACCACAGGCAGCACCUCAUCAUUUAACUUCUCAUGGCACUAGUUACAUAUUGUCAGCGAUGAAAAUUGACAAGAUUGGUGGUAGUGGAAGCAUCUUUGAUUGUGGCCAUUGAUUACUUCAAAGUGAAAAUGGAGUUGGGGUCCCAACUUUUCUGCCAAGUGUUGGCUAGUUUUGGGAGAGUUCUUUAC
rnacentral:lncRNA from 1 species